ACACUCUCCUCAGUGUUGGAGGAGUAUUAGGUGGAGUUCUGCUGGCGCUGGCAAUUAUAUGUGGGCUUUUCUUUGCCUUAAGAUGCGGUGCAGGGAAGGAAACGGCAGCUACAAGUCAACCAAACUCGGAGGUGAACAUGGAGGGUGCCCGGGUGUAUGAGGAGAUACAAACCACUGAUACCGCCCAAGCUAAUGGCUCUGUCUCAACCCAUCAGGGCACAGUGUCGUACUCAGCAAGUGACCAAUGUUCUAACCCUCAUCCAGCAUGUAUCACCGUGUACUCUGCAAUAACAAAUCAGGGCCUCAAUUCACACUCUGAUCACACCUGUCCCAGCCAACACACACACUAUGCUGUGACCCCCGUUAAGGAACUGCACAUUGAAACCCCCCAAAGCUCAAAAGAACCAAAUUAUUGCAAAGUAUAUUUUGCAAAUAACAAAAGUAUGGAUGAAAGUCCAACAUACUCCCUCAUCACUGCCCCCAAAAUCUCAACGGACAGUGUUUCACAUUACUCGGCUAUUCAGUUUCCACAAACUCUCAGUUCAGACCAUGAACUCCAGAACAUGGUCUCAAAACAAGGAAUAGACCAUGUCUAUGAUAAUACUAAUAUCUGCUAGGACUUCUAAUAGUAUAUUAGUGUUACCCGAUUAAACGUUUGUUUGUUUGGUGUUUGUUUUUUUGUUUUUAUGCAGGACGGGGUCCUACAUUAAACUCUGACAUUUUAUGUUUGUAAAAUAUGGACUCCCUAUGGGGACGUGGCUUAAAAAAAAAAAAAAAGCACCAGAUACUAUUGGGUGAACACUAGUAACUUUCUAUUGAGCACCAGAUUCUGUGGUGAGCACCUGAUAUUAUCUAGUGAGCACCAGAUACUAUCAAGUCAGCACUAGAUAUUUUCAAAAAAUAUUACCACAUCUUUAUCUGAUGCUCACCACAUAAUAUCUAAUGUGCACCUGAUAGCUUUGGGUGCCAACCACAUAGUAUCUAGUGCUGACCUGAUAGUACCAGGUGCUCACCACACAGUAUCUAGUGUUGUGUGUUGUAGUAUUGUGUGCCAACCACAUAAUAUCCAGUGCUCACCUGAUCGUAUUAGCUGCUCGCCACACAGUAUCUGGUGUUCACCUGAUAGUACUGUGUGCUCACCACAUAGUAUCUGGUGCUCACUUGUGACUAGUUGUUUCCUAUAGUAUUUAAAUGAAUGUAUAAGGCAAUCUGUUCAGCUCUUGAAGUCCUGGGAAAGCUUGCUUGGCUAUAUGUGUGUGUGUAUAUAUAUAUAUAUUGUGUAAAUGGACGAUUUUCCUUUUGGCUGUGUUUGGCUUGCUCUCUGUUUCUGACCAAAACUUAAUAGUGACGUAAGAGUAUUACUGUAAUACUUAUUGAGUUUAAAUACAAACAAGUGAUUCUAUUAAAUAAAAAUUCACUAAAAUGACAAACAUGUAUUUUGUUUUAUGAUAAAACAUCUAGAUAUCGGUGUUUUGAGUGCAACCAUAAAGAGUUAUAAUGUAUUGUAAUCUCAUCACAAUGACUUUAAUGUGGUUAUGAUAAAGAGCCUGAUUAAAGGCUCAUAAAUAAUACAUCAUUUUACACCUAUCAGUGAAGUUCUUGGCCACGUUUGGAACAAAUACCUUCAAGAAACGCAGCCAUAAAAAGUCAGAUAAAAAGAGAUAUACAUUGAUGAUUUUAGUUGCUUAUCUUUGCUUGAAUGUUUGGUAUAUUUGGUGGUUAAACAUUUAUGACUGGUCUUUGUCCUGCCUUUAUAUGGAAUGGAUAAACACACAGUAUCU
ensembl:lncRNA